GUUUAAAGCAUUUUUGCCCAUCCAACUGUCGACAAAUAAACUAUUUAACAAUGUUAAUGCUGAGGCUUGGUGUCAUCUUGGUAUUAGGCAUUUGUUUGGAAAGUGCUAAAUCACCAUAUUUCAGAGGACCCGGUGGUCAUAAGAUUAAAGUACAUUGUCCCCCUAAUAUGCGAGACGAUUUAGAAAGUUGUUGGGUAGAUAGCUAUGGUAGAGGUGCGGGUCGAUUGCCAGAUAAAACACCUUGUCCAUCUGGAAUGCGAGAUGACGGUACCAGUUGUUGGAGUGAUGCCCAUAUAUAUGGAAAGGGAUGUUGUUGCACAAUCUUUGGAUGCUGUAACAGAUGUAAAAGUGGUUACCAUGACGAUGGAUGCACGUGCAGAAAAACAGAUGUAGGUAUUAAGGUGACACUGUUCCAACGACAAGGGUGUGGACCAGACGAAGAGAUAAAUGGACUUCUUUGCUAUCCAAAAUGUAAAAAAGGAUACUUUGCAAGUGGAUGCUGUAUUUGUACCCCAAAUGGUGGUGCAGGUAUACGCAUAACUUUUCAACAAAGGCAAAAAUGUAGGGAUGGAACAGAAGCAUACAACGAUUUGUGUUAUCCCAAAUGUGUAGCUGGUUAUAGCCCUGUAAAGCUUCAUUGCAUUCCAAAUUAGGAACCUCAGAUACAAUUUUGGCAAUGAAAAUGAAACCAUAGAGAAAGGCGUUUGGUGGGAGAAAAAGUAACUACAGUGAUUUUGAGUUUGGCGUUAACUUUACAAAAAUAUGUCAACAAAAAUAAUGAACAGGCAAGACAUACUAAAAUUGUCACACAAAACUUUUACCAGAUUUUCCUUUGAGGUCAACAAUAGAAAUGAUGAAAAUACAGAACUUUUAAUUACAAUGCCAUUAUAAACUAUCACCACAUCUGUUUUCUCGUAUAAUAAACUUUUAUGCAGUG